rnacentral:rRNA from 1 species
AUUGAACGCUGGCGGCAUGCCUUACACAUGCAAGUCGAACGGCAGCACGGGGCAACCUGGUGGCGAGUGGCGAACGGGUGAGUAAUGCAUCGGAACGUGCCAUUGAGUGGGGGAUAACGUAGCGAAAGUUGCGCUAAUACCGCAUAUUCUGUGAGCAGGAAAGCAGGGGACCGCAAGGCCUUGCGCUCUUUGAGCGGCCGAUGUCAGAUUAGCUAGUUGGUGAGGUAACGGCUUACCAAGGCGACGAUCAGUAGUUGGUCUGAGAGGACGACCAGCCACACUGGGACUGAGACACGGCCCAGACUCCUACGGGAGGCAGCAGUGGGGAAUUUUGGACAAUGGGCGCAAGCCUGAUCCAGCAAUGACCGCGUGAGUGAAGAAGGCCUU